GGAUGUGAGGGCGAUCUGGCUGCGACAUCUGUCACCCCAUUGAUCGCCAGGGUUGAUUCGGCUGAUCUGGCUGGCUAGGCGGGUGUCCCCUUCCUCCCUCACUGCUCCAUGUGCGUCCCUCCCGAAGCUGCGAGCUUGGUCGAAGAGGACCGCCUUCCCCGAAUUGGUCGAGGGUAUACCGUAGCUGCGCUAGCCUGCUAGAACCUCCAAACAAGCUCUCAAGAAUAGGAAAGCUAUCAGGGGAGGGGAUGGGAUACGGAGGUCUGGUGGUGGGAAUUGUGCGAAGUUGUACCCCUCUUAUC
rnacentral:snRNA from 1 species